CAGUUUAUGCCCAAGAGGGUAACCAUGCUUCUUAAAGCAUUCAUUAACCGUGUGUCCAGUGAUAUUGCAAAAAGUGCAAACCUUUGAGUUGCAUGAACUUGAAUUUGAUCUUCUGCCAAAGCCUCCUUUAUUUGAUGAAUAACCUCGACCUCCUCUUAUCCCUUUGUUGUAGGAGAAUCCUGAUGGAUAGUCAUUCCUUUUGUAAC
rnacentral:lncRNA from 1 species